CCCCGGGGCCGGCCAUUAAGGACUGGGGAAUACUCCGGGGAAACCGGGGCCUAAUACCGGGAUAACAUUUUGAACUGCAUGGGUUCGAAAUUGAAAGGCGGCUUCGGCUGUCACUUAUGGAUGGACCCGCGUCGCAUUAGCUAGUUGGUGAGGUAACGGCUCACCAAGGCAACGAUGCGUAGCCGACCUGAGAGGGUGAUCGGCCACACUGGGACUGAGACACGGCCCAGACUCCUACGGGAGGCAGCAGUAGGGAAUCUUCCGCAAUGGACGAAAGUCUGACGGAGCAACGCCGCGUGAGUGAUGAAGGCUUUCGGGUCGUAAAACUCUGUUGUUAGGGAAGAACAAGUGCUAGUUGAAUAAGCUGGCACCUUGACGGUACCUAACCAGAAAGCCACGGCUAACUACGUGCCAGCAGCCGCGGUAAUACGUAGGUGGCAAGCGUUAUCCGGAAUUAUUGGGCGUAAAGCGCGCGCAGGUGGUUUCUUAAGUCUGAUGUGAAAGCCCACGGCUCAACCGUGGAGGGUCAUUGGAAACUGGGAGACUUGAGUGCAGAAGAGGAAAGUGGAAUUCCAUGUGUAGCGGUGAAAUGCGUAGAGAUAUGGAGGAACACCAGUGGCGAAGGCGACUUUCUGGUCUGUAACUGACACUGAGGCGCGAAAGCGUGGGGAGCAAACAGGAUUAGAUACCCUGGUAGUCCACGCCGUAAACGAUGAGUGCUAAGUGUUAGAGGGUUUCCGCCCUUUAGUGCUGAAGUUAACGCAUUAAGCACUCCGCCUGGGGAGUACGGCCGCAAGGCUGAAACUCAAAGGAAUUGACGGGGGCCCGCACAAACGGGGGAGCAUGUGGGUUAAUUCCAACCCACGCGAAGAACUUACCAGGUCUUGACAUCCUCUGAAAACCCUAAAAAAAGGGGUUCUCCUUCCGGAGCAAAAUAAAAGGCGGGGGUGGCUGUCUUCCCCCCGUGCCGGAAAAGAUGGGGUUAGCUCCCCCAACAAAGCCAGCCCUUGUCUUAAUUUGCCACCCUAUGUUUGGGCGUCUAAGCGGAUGCGGGUGACAUCCUAAAAAG
rnacentral:misc_RNA from 1 species